rnacentral:rRNA from 1 species
AUCCUGGCUCAGGAUGAACGCUAGCUACAGGCUUAACACAUGCAAGUCGAGGGGCAGCAUGGGAUCAGCUUGCUGAUCCUGAUGGCGACCGGCGCACGGGUGAGUAACGCGUAUCCAACUCCCCCUACUCAGGCAUAGCCCGGUGAAAACCGGAUUAACUCCUGAUAGUUUCACUAGAUGGCAUCUGACGGUGAAUAAAGCUCAGCGGUAAGGGAUGGGGAUGCGUCUGAUUAGCUUGUUGGCGGGUAACGGCCACCAAGGCGACGAUCAGUAGGGGUUCUGAGAGGAAGGUCCCCCACAUUGGAACUGAGACACGGUCCAAACUCCUACGGGAGGCAGCAGUGAGGAAUAUUGGUCAAUGGGCGCGAGCCUGAACCAGCCAAGUAGCGUGCCAGGAAGACGGCCCUAUGGGUUGUAAACUGCUUUUGUAUGGGAAUAAAGUCAGGGACGUGUCCCUGUUUGCAUGUACCAUAAGAAUAAGGACCGGCUAAUUCCGUGCCAGCAGCAGC